rnacentral:lncRNA from 1 species
AUUUGCAUAAAAAUUUAGAGCUCAAUAACUCAAAACAUACAUUGGAAAAUAAAAACCCAGCUUGAUAACAAGCCUGUAGAUAGAAGAUGUACAAUUCUCUUCUUGUAAAAGCAAUGCUAAUUCCUUCUUUCAAGUUGACCUACAAGAUAAUCUAAUCUUAAUAGGUCUCAAAAUAUCGCAUGAGCUAACGAUUCUACAAAAGCUGCUAAAUCUUAAUAUUCUGCGCCCGGAUUUUCAAAACUCAAUUGGAAAUCUAAAAAAAAUCGAAUUUAUCAAAAUACUUUUAUUGCAUUAUUCACUAUGCAAAUUCAUAUCAUAUCUCAAAAUCACAUAAAGUAAAUAAUUAUACACAUAAGAAUAAUCAAUCAAACUCAAAUUAUAGAGUCUAAUUAAUCAGACCAUUAAAUCAUUAUUCAAAUUAAUCAACUGAUUCAGGACUCGACCAAAUAAUUUAAGUAAAGCAUGAUUUAAAGAAUUUAAAUCAGCCAAACAUCUUAACAAAAAAAUGCAGCCCAACUCUUUAAUUAAUAACUCCACUAAUGAAUGUAAAUAAGCCCACACCUCCGGCCCAACUUCUCUUCCUCCACCCUUUAACACACCACUCACGCAGACACACACACACACGAUUAGGGCUGUCAAACCUAGCGGGCCGGGCUAGCCUAGGCAAUUUUUUGGGCCGGGUCGAGCCGACCCAAAAUUUCAGCGGGCCGCUAAUAUUGAAGCCCAGCCCAGCCCAGCGCGGGGCCCAAUUCUAUAAUUAAGUUUAACUAUAUAUUUCAAUCAUCACGUAAUCACGUUUCCAUCUUGAAUAUUGAUAAAUGAUAAGCAAGUUUAAAAAGCAUUCAUGUUUAAAACAAAAUGCUUUUGAAAAGCAAAAGGUGAAUCAUCAUUCAUCACCUAUUCACGUUUAAAUCAGCAAGUUUUGCUUUUCUUGUUCAUCUUUAUUCUUCAGGUUGAUAGCUAAAUUAGAAAUUAUUUUAAUAUUAGUAUGAUAUUAAAUGACCAAGUGCGAAUUUAAAUCCUAAUUUCAAUUUACAAUUAGACGACUUGGACAGAUUUUUUUUGGGCUUGGACUCUUGGAGGAAUAAUGAUUAAUGAAUUUAAAAUAGCCUAUAAUUGACGGGCCAAUUUAGGCCCGAAAGCCCAGCGGGUUGUUUGGCCCACGGGCCGCGUAGGUCGGGCCAAGGAGGCCCGAUUGGCCAUGGAAAUUCUAGCCCGGCCCGACCAAAACUACGGGCGGGCCCAACGGGCCGGGCCAAUUUCGGUCCAUUUUGACAGCUCUGACACGACACACACACGCACCAGCACCCAAAAUACACACUCCCAUCUCACACACACCACAUCAGACGCACCCUCUCUCUCCAUCGCCUUCUGCCGCCGCUAGAUGGCGGCGCCGCCCGGCGUCCCCCUAUCUCCCCCAGUCGGAGCAUCGCCUUGCCGUCGCGGCACAACAGUAGCGUCGCUCAGCCAUCUUCUUUCUCGAUCGACGAACGGACGGCGCCAAUAGGCAACCGCCACCGCGAUUCAUCACCACAAUCACCGAUUCUCCCUAAACCGCCUCUUCCUCCCCUCUGAAUUUCGGCCAGCAGCUCGAAAUACCGCCGCCGCCGCCGACUCUAUCUCACCUCCCCUCCUUCUCUCCUUCUACCCGCGAUGACAGCCACGCUGGCGACAACAGCAGUAACCGUGCCGCCGCAGUGACCACAGCAGCACCGCUGCCUUCGCUCCCUCCCUGCCCUGACUCGCCACGACUCGACUCCCACAUCAACAACACAUAGCGAAAGGUUAAAGAAAAUACAUGUAAGGCUCAAUUAAUCCAUAGGCAUUCUGUAAAUAUGUUUUUCUUUUUCAUAUACAGUUUCUGUAACAGUCACAUAUACAUCAAAUAUACAAGAUACGAAUCAUCUUUUAGAUGUAUAGGAAUGUCCUGUUUGAUUGUAAACAAAGAAUGAUUAUGUUUUUAUGUUGUGGUGUAUGACAUGAGUGUUUGUUGAGAAGAAGUGUACUGGGGCGAACCUUGAUGAAGAGUUGUAUUCUGUUAUGAGGUAAAUCUGCAAUGGAAAGUUGUAUUGUAAUUAAAAAUUGUAGUGUAAGCUGGACUGGAGCAAUUUGGUUAUGGUUUUGCAGGGUUGCGUUUGAGCUGUUCUUAAAGAAGGUGCCUGCUAUUCUCAGCUGCGAUUGUGAGCUAAGGAAAAUUGGGGUUGGAUGAGGAGCUUUGAGCAGGUCUGGGGAGGAUUGUAUUGGAGAAAAGUGGAGAUGUGGAAGAACCCCUUCCACCGCUAAAUAUUUGUUUAAUAUCAUAAGCUACUGUAUCAACUUCACCUGCUUAAGUAUAACAAAUAAAAUGUAUAGAUCGAUUUUUUUUUUAAAUAAAAUUUACCUGAUUUGCAAGGUAAUUGGGCUUUUGGAAACAUUUCAAGAAUUCUUGCCCAAUAAAU